rnacentral:lncRNA from 1 species
UCUUUUCUGUUUCCUAAGGAUUAGAGUAAUUUGCAUUCUGCAUGAAGCUGCAGCAAUCUAAUAUGCACAAGUAUUUUCUACAGGUUUUUCUUUAGCCACUGGCAGAGAGUCACUCCUGAAUAUGAGCCAGUAAAGUCACAGCAUCAGUUAAUGUGUCAGCAAUGUGUGCAACAGCAUUGGAGGACCAUCAAUCCUGUACCUGCAUUCUGCAAAAGAGAUUUUGAAAAACAUCUCCCUUCUCUGGAAAGUCUUUACUGGUCUGAGUUACAAUGAAGACAAACAUAUUCUGCAUCUGACUCAAUCAGGCUUUUGAUCUUUGCCUCACUGCAAGCAUUCAAGAUGUGGGCAAUUACAAAGAAAACAGUGUGCUGUACCCAAGAACACUUUGUCCUGGAGUGACUAAUGUUGCUGCUGCAGUGCAUUUGGAGGACAGCACGUUAAGCAUAAAGAAUCAGGAUCCUCAGCAAGAAGCACAGCAAGAAAUCAGAGAAGUAUAUUCUAACCAUAGAGAAAAGACAGGAGAGAUGAAUAGGAUACAAGAGCUGAAUUCUUCUCUUUUGCCUCAGGAAAUGAGAUAG